GUGCCCUCUUUGGCAGUACAUAUAUUAAAAAUUGGAAUGAUACAGGGAAGCAUGGCCCUUUCCCAAGGAUGACAUGCAAAUUGAUGAAAUAUUCCAUAUUUAA
ensembl:snRNA Gm23080 predicted gene, 23080